rnacentral:rRNA from 1 species
UACGUAGGGUGCGAGCGUUGUCCGGAAUUACUGGGCGUAAAGAGCUCGUAGGUGGUUUGUCGCGUUGUUCGUGAAAACUCACAGCUUAACUGUGGGCGUGCGGGCGAUACGGGCAGACUGGAGUACUGCAGGGGAGACUGGAAUUCCUGGUGUAGCGGUGGAAUGCGCAGGAUAUCAGGAGGAACACCGGUGGCGAAGGCGGGUCUCUGGGCCGUAACUGACGCUGAGGAGCGAAAGCAUGGGGA